GAUGAACGCUAGCGGCAGGCCUAACACAUGCAAGUCGAGGGGUAACGUGAUGUGCUUGCACAUUGGACGACGACCGGCGCACGGGGUGCGUAACGCGUAUACAAUUUGCCUUAUACUGGAGGAUAGCCCAGAGAAAUUUGGAUUAAUACUCCAUAACAUCAUGAAUUCGCAUGUUUUUAUGAUUAAAACUCCGGUGGUAUAAGAUAAGUACGCGUCCCAUUAGCUAGUUGGUAAGGUAACGGCUUACCAAGGCGACGAUGGGUAGGGGGCCUGAGAGGGUUAUCCCCCACACUGGUACUGAGACACGGACCAG
rnacentral:rRNA from 1 species